AGAGUUUGAUCCUGGCUCAGGACGAACGCUGGCGGCGUGCUUAACACAUGCAAGUCGAACGAGGAUGUUGACUUCGGUUGACAUUCGAGUGGCGGACGGGUGAGUAACGCGUGAGCAAUCUGUCCUACAGAGGGGGAUAACAACUGGAAACAGUUGCUAAUACCGCAUAAGACCACGAGGCCGCAUGGCCAUGAGGUAAAAGGAGCAAUCCGCUGUAGGGUGAGCUCGCGUCCGAUUAGAUAGUUGGUGAGGUAACGGCCCACCAAGUCUGCGAUCGGUAGCCGACCUGAGAGGGUGACCGGCCACAUUGGGACUGAGACACGGCCCAGACUCCUACGGGAGGCAGCAGUGGGGAAUAUUGGGCAAUGGGGGAAACCCUGACCCAGCAACGCCGCGUGAGGGAAGAAGGUUUUCGGAUUGUAAACCUUCUGUCCUUGGUGACGAAAAGAAUGACGGUAGCCAAGGAGGAAGCCCCGGGCUAACUACGUGCCAGCAGCCGCGGU
rnacentral:rRNA from 1 species